GUUAUUAUUCUUCUGUCCUAUUUUUCAGAGUAUCUAUAAUUCAUCAAGUCAGGCACAUGAGACAUUUGAGAACCUCUUUUUGCAAUGAUUUUUUCAAAAAUUAGUAUAAAGUUAAUGCUAUUUUGUGUAUGUACUAACAUGGGGAGAGGGUUGAGCACUUAUUUCAGUGAGCCUUAUUUUUUCAAAUAGAUUGACUGAAGUUACUGUAAACAUGUUUUCUAAACACUGUGAUACAUGGCUCUGAUUAUUUCCUUUUGAAAAUUUUGAGUUGGGUAAAUAUAUUCUCUCAGAUACUCAGUUUAAUUUUGUAAGUAGUCUGUACCAGCUUUUCGCUCUAUAAAUUUUGCAGUAGUCUUUAGCCAAAAGCAAUAAAAUCUGACCUACUAAGUCUAACAUCAUGAACUGUUUGUAAUCUUGUUCUUGACUAAUACUUUAAGUUACUUUUGUGUAAUUUACCAAAAUACACCCCUAAACAAAAAAAAUCUAAUUUAAAAUGCAUUUUAUUGAGUAUAAAUCCAUAUCACCAAUCAGAUUCUCCUUCUAAAUGGAACGUUGCUUUUAUUCAUUCUGUUGCUAAGAUAAUCUCAACCUAAAAUUUAAAAUAUAGCUUUCAUUUUUUUUUCCCCAAAAUAGUCUUAUAUUAACUCUGCUUUCUUCCUUGUCCCAAGAGUUAUUGAAGGGACUUAAGUGAGUGCUACUAAGUGUUUAAGUGUUUGGGUAAUUUUCUUAAAAAAAAUUUCUGGCUCUUUCAAUGUAUUAUGAAAUAAUACAUUAUGAAAAUAUAAUCUAGCUGGGCGCGGUGGCUCACACCCAUAAUCCCAGCACUUUGGGAGGCCAAGGCAGGUGGAUCACUUGAGGCCAGGAGUUUGAGACCAGCCUGGCCAACAUGGCGAAACCCUAUCACUACUUAAAAAAAAAAAAAAAAAAAUUUAGGCUGAGCGUGGUGGUUCACGCCUGUAAUCUCAGCACUUUGGGAGGCCAAGGUUGGCAGAUUUACUUGCAGUCAGGAGUUCAAGACCAGCCUGGCCAACAUGGCGAAACCCCGUCUCUACUAAAAACACAAAAAUUAGCCAGGUGUGGUGGCACACACCUGUAAUCCCAGCUACCUGGGAGGCUGAGGCAGGAGAAUCGUUUGAACCUGGGAGACGAAGGUUGCAGUGAGCUGAGAUCACACCACUGCACUCCAGUCUGGGUGACAGUGAGACACUGUCUCAAAAAACAAGUAAGCAAAAAACCAAAAAUUAGCCAGGAAUUAGCCGGGUGUGGGGGCCCAUGACUGUAAUCCCAGUUACUGGGGAGGCUGAGGCAUGAGAAUUGCUUGAACCCAGGAGGCACCACUGCACUCCAGCCUGGGUGACAGAGUGAGACACUGUCUCAAAAAAAAAAAAAAAAGUCCUGUGGUUGGCUGAUUCCUCUGUGAGAAAUCCAUGUACCCAUGUACUCAUCUCAAUUUAGAUUUUGCCCAAAUAUCCCAAUAUCAGUGGACUCUUUCCUGAUCUUUUCCCUCUGGGCAGAACUGACCAUUCUUGCCCACACUUUUACAUUUUUUUUAGUUUUUGAGGCAUUCUUGCUCUCUCACCCAGGGUGGAGGGCAGUGACACAAUCUCAGCUCACGGCAACCCUCCACCUCCCAGGUCCAAUCAAUUCUCCUUCCUCAGCCACCAAGUAGCUAGUAUUACAGGUGCUCGCCACCACGCCUGGCUAAUUUUUGUAUUUUUAGUAGAGAUGGGGUUUCACCAUGCUGGCCAGGCUGGUCUUGAACUCCUGUACUCAAGUGAUCCGCCCGCCUCAGCCUCCCAAAGUGCUGGGAUUACAGACGUGAGCCACCAUGCCUGGCCCUUGGCUACACUUCUAUGGUAGCACCUUUGACAUAUUAGUACAUACACACACACACACACACACACACACACACACACACACACAUUUUAACAUAUCAAGUUCAUUUAGUACAGGUUUUCUUAUUUACCUUAAUGUUCCCUAUAUCUAGCAGAGUACAUGGAAAAUACACAAUAAAUACUUUUAUAUGAAUAAAAAGAGAGAAAAAUUGCUCUUAUGUGUUAAGCCAGCAUAGUAGCAGUAGACUCCCAGGAAAGAGAUGCAGGGCAGGUCUGGCACAGCUGGUCAUAUUUGAUCUUGAUGUAUCAAACAGAUGAGUCAUUCCCAAUUUAUAUUUUAAUAAUGAAAAUUCCUGAGGCAAAAUUUUCUUAUAAUAGUAAAAUAGUAUCUGAAAAGAUGAAAAUUUUAUUUACCUAAUAUGAUCCAUUGUCCAGAAGAAUCUGAAAGUAACUUCAAAUUGGGAAUAACAUUUGGGUCUUUGAAAAAAGCCUAAAAUACAAAUUUGAGGGGAAUAAGUUAGAUAUUUUAUUAUAAAUGAUAGUAAAAAUUAACAUAAAAUAACUAUAAUCUCCUUUAAUUCAAAUAGAAAGGACAAUUUUAAAUUGGUAAAAUGUCUGAGUAAUAAAGAGUUUAUAAAUAAAUGAAGUUUUAUUACAUCCAACUUGGAACAGUAUGAACAUUGUGUGUCCAAGUACAGAUGUCUUUGGAACUUAAUUUAGAAAAUAAUGAUAUAGAGUAAACAUUAGGAGGUUAUAUAAUAUUUGAAAACUUUGUUUUCCUUCAAUCUUGCUUAUUGAAUUGCCUUCGUAACAACUGACAUACUAGAUCUAAAUCCAAAAGUAACUGUCAAUUUAAUUCUUUCCAAAAGGCAUGUAAAAAAGUGAAAAAUCUAACUUCCUAAAAAUGAAACGUUUUCUGUAUGGCAAAAGACAACAAAGCAGGUAAGAGUUUUAGUUCCAGAUCCUUUUGUAGUUUAUGAGCAUGAUGACUGGGUUUUCACAGGUAUGUGUGAGAUGUGCCAUCCUCGAACCUUGUUAUGAUGUCGGCAUAUUGUCAGUCUGACAUGAAAUAAGAAAAAAAUAUAUAAAAUAAAAAAGAGCUUUAGUUCUUGGCACCAGCAGCUGACUCAAGCUGAAAAGGCAGAAGAAAAUUUAUUAGAAGCAUCUCAGGGAGUCCACAAAAUGUUCCGGGGGUGGAGGGCAUCAGGCUGAAGGCUGGACCCAGGAACAAUCCAAAAUCAUAUGCAGAACUGCCCUCAUGAGGAAACUGUCACCCUUGCUGCAGCCCCACGAAGCACUACAGUUGAUCUUAGCCAAAAGGCUGAGAAGCGAUAGCCCCAUCAAGCACUAGAGGAAGCCACCAUCACCCCUUUCUCCUAUUCAAGUACUAACCAGGCCCAACCUUACUUAGCUUUCAAUAUCAGGUACAUCGAGGAUGGUAUGGCCAUAAACAUCAAGUACUAACCAGGCCCAAUCCUGCUUAGCUUCCAGCAUUCAGGGUGGUAUGGCUGUAGACAUCACCAUCACUCCCUUCUAACCUAGGCCAUUGCUGUGCCAGGUCUGUCUGGCCUGAAAGUGGUCUCUGCCACUACCUUUGCCAAAGAAAUGAAUUCUGUGUGUGCCUCCUUCCUUAAGUUGCUCACUUCAAAAUUCCAGUCUUGCACUGAUGAGUCUGUUUGUAAACCUAGGUCCCACGCUUACUAUCUGGAUGCAAGGGAGUUCCUUGCAUUUUGGGAGGUUUCACUUGGACUUCCCAAAAGUUACUCCCAAAUUGCAUGGUUGUUUACAAGGUGCUGGACAGCCAGAAAACAUAAUGUCUGUGAAGAGCAAUAAACAAAAGAAAAAUAAUAGACUGAGAGAAAAUAUUUGCAACACAUAUGUUAAAACGGAGAAACUGACAUCCUAGUGAUUAAAAAAAAAAACUAACUGUAAGAAAAACUGACAAACCUAAAUUUUCUUCUGCCUUUUCAGCUUGAGUCAGCUGCUGGUGCAUGGAACGAAAGUUUUCUUUUUUUCUUUUUUUUUUUUUUGAGAUGGAGUUUCGCUC
rnacentral:lncRNA from 10 species